rnacentral:rRNA from 1 species
AUGAGCCACCAGAUGAGGAGUCUGGUGAAGGUGGAGGGUCGCCCCUGCCCAUCCCCGGCGGCCGACGGUGGCGGGGCACCGAGGACGAUGGACGGGCUAGGCAACGCCGGGCCCACGCCGUUCCUCGCCAAGACCUAUGACAUGGUCGACGACCCCGCCACCGACGCCGUCGUCUCCUAG